rnacentral:lncRNA from 1 species
UUUAGAGCUUCUUAUAAUGUAUCUAUUGGUGAUAAAGCUACAUAUUUUUCUACUUCUCUUCUUAAUCCAUUUAAGAACCAUGUUUUUUUAAGUAGGUCAUGGAAUUGAGGAACAAGUUUAUUAACUGCUCAUAUUACUCUUUUGAAGAAUUUUCCUACAUUCUCAGCCUUCUUUUAUUUGAGAUGUGGAAGAUUAUCAAUGACUUUUUUAUUACUAUUUUUUUCUCUAAAACAAAUAAUAAAUGCAUCUUUAAGACCUUUUCAAGAAUUAAAAUAUUAUGUAAGAUAUCAAGCAUAUUAUUCAAGUGCCUUUUUUUAAUAAUAAAGAUAUAUA